CUGGGUUGGAUGAGUGGCGAACGGGUGAGUAACACGUGAGUAACCUGCCCUCUUCUUUGGGAUAACGGUCGGAAACGGCUGCUAAUACCGGGUAUUCACUGUCCUUCGCAUGGGGGGUGGUGGAAAGGUUUUUUCUGGUGGGGGAUGGGCUCGCGGCCUAUCAGCUUGUUGGUGGGGUGAUGGCUUACCAAGGCUUGACGGUAACCGGCCUGAGAGGGUGACCGGUCACAUUGGGACUGAGAUACGGCCCAG
rnacentral:rRNA from 1 species